rnacentral:rRNA from 1 species
GUAGGGAAUAUUGGACAAUGGGGGGAACCCUGAUCCAGUCAUGCCGCGUGGAGGAAGACUGCCCUCUGGGUUGUAAACUCCUUUUAUAUGGGAAGAACCGUCCUCAUUAAUGAGUGACCUGACGGUACCAUAGGAAUAAGCACCGGCUAACUCCGUGCCAGCAGCCGCGGUAAUACGGAGGGUGCAAGCGUUAUCCGGAUUCACUGGGUUUAAAGGGUGCGUAGGCGGAUAAAUAAGUCAGUGGUGAAAUCAACGGGCUCAACCUGUUAACUGCCAUGGAUACUGUGUAUCUUGAAUAUGAGAGAGGUAGGCGGAAUGUUGCAUGUAGCGGUGAAAUGCUUAGAUAUGCUACGGAACACCGAUUGCGAAGGCAGCUUACUAUUUCGUAAUUGACGCUGAGGCACGAAAGCGUGGGUAGCGAACAGGAUUAGAUACCCUGGUAGUCC